rnacentral:rRNA from 1 species
CCUACGGGAGACAGCAGUGGGGGAUAUUGCACAAUGGGGGGAACCCUGAUGCAGCGACGCCGCGUGGGUGAAGAAGGGCCUCGGCGCGUAAAGCCCUGUCAGCAGGGAAGAAAAUGACGGUACCUGAAGAAGAAGCACCGACUCACUACGUGCCAGCAGCCGCGGUAAGACGUAGGGGGCAAGCGUUAUCCGGAUUUACUGGGUGUAAAGGGGGCGCAGACGGCGAUGCAAGCCAGGAGUGAAAGCCCGGGGCCCAACCCCGGGACUGCUGUUGGAACUGCGUGGCUGGAGUGCAGGAGAGGCAUGCGGAAUGCCUGGUGUAGCGGUGAAAUGCGUAGAUAUCAGGAGGAACACCGGUGGCGAAGGCGGCCUGCUGGACUGCCACUGACAUUGAUGCUCGAAAGUGUGGGUAUCAAACAGGAUUAGAUACCCGUGUAGUC